GCCCGGGUAGCGCAAUGGUCAACGCGUCACCUUCCUACGCUAUUGUAAAGCAUGAGGUGAAGAUUGCGGGUUCGAGUCCCGCCUUGGGUU
rfam:Naematelia encephala strain 68-887.2 BCR39scaffold_3, whole genome shotgun sequence.